rnacentral:rRNA from 1 species
GCCUACGGGGCGCAGCAGUGGGGAAUAUUGCACAAUGGGGGAAACCCUGAUGGAGCAACGCCGCGUGGGUGAAGAAGGUCUUCGGAUCGUAAAACCCUGUUGUUAGAGAAGAAAGUGCGUGAGAGUAACUGUUCACGUGUCGACGGUAUCUAACCAGAAAGCCACGGCUAACUACGUGCCAGCAGCCGCGGUAAUACGUAGGUGGCAAGCGUUAUCCGGAUUUAUUGGGCGUAAAGGGAACGCAGGCGGUCUUUUAAGUCUGAUGUGAAAGCCUUCGGCUUAACCGGAGUAGUGCAUCAGAAACU